AUUACUUUGAUGACAGAAAAAAGUGAAACUUACUUUGGUCAAUUGUCUUAUCGUCAUAGUUUUUACCUCGCAUCUGUUCUGUAAAGUUCGAAGUUCGGUUUGUUAUUAAGCCAUUUCUUCCAAUGUGAAAUCAUCGUCGAGAUAUUCCUAGGACAGGACCAGACAACUGGCUUCUUUUUCCAGAAAAAUAUUUCUCUUCUUAUUCCGGUUGCUCCCUGCUGUAAAUAAUAAAUACCUCGCGAUCACUGUU